GCCUCUGGCAUGGCUCCGCCUGGAGGCCCAGCCUCAUCACAGCAUACCUGAAAGGCAGAGCAUGCUGAGUCCCUUCUUUGCAGCCAAGAAGCACGAGUAGCAUAAGAGCUGACUGCAAGAGCAGGAGGCAGGACCAAUCAACAUUCCCCCAGGGAGAAAGGAUGGGAGAGGAAGGAGUCCUGAGGAGAGUGUUCUGCAGAAUCUUCUCAUCCUGCCAGACAAGUGUUGUCACGCACUUCCUUCCUUCAUGAAUGUUCCGGAUCCAACCUGAACAGAUGUGCUCCUGUAGGGUGUGGGCAUUCCAGUGGGGGAAUUUCACUUUGGCACUGUCUGCUUCUAUGUUUUACCCAGGACUACUUAGAAACCUGUGCUUGGCAUGAGCACUCUGCUUUCCCUCCAGGGAAAGCUGGAGUCUCUUAGCCCCCAGGCCCCCACCUGCUGGG